ensembl:lncRNA
CUGCCUCUCUCUCUUCCUUCUCCUCCUUGUUCCUCCACAUGUAUUUGUAAUGAAGAAAGUGAGGCAAAAUUGGCAUUUGUGGGUCUACGUAGUGAAAUGAGACCAAGAAUGCUUUGACCCCCUGAGUCAGUCAAAGUGCUUAGUGCUGGAAGAUAUUGUGGAGGGAUUCUCUUCUGUACACUUCAAGAUGGAGAACAAAAAUAAGCCUAAAGCCUGAACGCUAUUCCAGCCCUCUGUACAGCCUGAGCAGAAGUCCAUUUGCUGCUGUGCCAGAGAAAACUUCUCAACGGUCUUCUGCUGACAGACAUGGGUCACAGUCAACGUGAAUUAAAUACGACAGUACUUUGUGCCAUUAUUACACACAGUGAGGAUGGAGCGCUGUGAGAAAUCCAAGAGAGAUGACUCAAGUUCAGCAGUGCAGGAAGAUUUCUGUGUUGUUUGAGGGCAUUUAGGAUGAAGAAGAAAGAGAGAAAGAGAGGAAAGGAGGAAGAAAGAAAGAAAAAGAAAUUCCUCUUGUCCAGUUUUGGACUCUAAGCUUCCAUUUUGCCACCUCUGAUCAGAGAAUAGAGGCUACAAAGUUGGAUCUUCAGCCUGCUACAUCUAUUUGCUGAUUAUUUGCUCUAACACCCAAACAAAAGCCUAUCCAUCAAGAGGCAAGAAGCAAUCAGCAGUCCAAGCAUCCUCAUUGUGUAGAAAGUCCCCUCACUAGAUGUGUGAUGGGUGUCUCAGUAUACUAAACAAGUGACCAGGCCUCCCAUGGACUCUAGGUGCCUCUCCACGGAAAUUCUCUCUCUCAUAUGUUUCAUUUACUCCUGAGAGUGCUCCUCUUCGUGCAUUCGUUCCCUUUCCUAUAUCUAUGUCUAUAUUUAUAUCUAUAUCUUAUAAACAAAAGGAUUUACCAUACUUUCAGCCCCAGGCCUCCACUGCAGCAUCCUUUGUAGUUAUCUAGACGCAAAGCUGAAAGUUAACUAGUUUAUGCUUUAGGUUUCAGUAAAAAUAAUGAGCAGAUAUAUUUUGAGAUUUUCUGAAAGAAUUUUAAAAUGUAUUUUCCUGACUAUUCUAAUUAUAGGUCACAACUGUAACUAACAUGCAAUUUGGUCAAGCUGUCGUAUUAUGGGAGCACGAUUCUCUCUAUGUUGUCCAUAUGUAUUGACAUAAAGCUUUUGGGAGGAAUGUGAAGAAAGGUAAUUGUGGCAGUACAAAGUAGAGAUCAAUUAUUUAUAUUACUUUGGGCAGAAGCGGGUCAGAUAUGACUUAGACUCAUUAUUUUCCUUAUUCCCUCAGGCCCCCACCAGUAAGUAUUUAUUGAUUCAUUCUCAGCAUGUGUGACUUUCCCUAAACUCUGCAUACAUGUUUUCAAGUUACAGAUGCUUCAUUUAGUUACUUGCUCAAUUAUUCACCUUAAGAAAAUCCAGUUUAUGCAAAAGUAUAUCUACAAAACAAGCAAAUCAAAGAAUUCAUCUCCCAAGACUUUCUGAACUAUAAAAUUAAGCCUUGAUUAUAAAAUUAAAAAUUACAAAAUUAAAAAAUAAAUCAUUAUGAAAUUAAUCCUUAAUGUUCUAAUGCAUCAUUGUAUAUAAUAAA